CAGCCGCCACGGUAAAACGAAGGGUGCAAGCGUUAAUCGGAAUUACUGGGCGUAAAGGGCGUGUAGGCGGCCUGGGGCGUCCCAUGUGAAAGGCCACGGCUCAACCGUGGAGGAGCGUGGGAUACGCUCAGGCUAGAGGGUGGGAGAGGGUGGUGGAAUUCCCGGAGUAGCGGUGAAAUGCGCAGAUACCGGGAGGAACGCCGAUGGCGAAGGCAGCCACCUGGUCCACUUCUGACGCUGAGGCGCGAAAGCGUGGGGGGCAAACCGGAUUAGAUACCCCCGUAGUCCCUGUCUCUUAUAC
rnacentral:rRNA from 1 species